rfam:Ovis aries breed Texel chromosome 5, whole genome shotgun sequence.
UUCCUGAUGGUCCAGUGGCUAAAACUCUGAGCUCCCAAUGCAGGGGGCCUGGGUUCAAUCCCUGGUCAGGGAA